UACGUAGGGUGCGAGCGUUGCCCGGAUUUAUUGGGCGUAAAGGGCGCGUAGGCGGUGUGGCAAGUCAGGUGUGAAACCUCCAGGCUUAACUUGGAGCUGGCAUCUGAAACUGCCGCGCUAGAGUGCGGGAGAGGAGAGUGGAAUUCCUGGUGUAGCGGUGAAAUGCGUAGAUAUCAGGAGGAACACCGGUGGCGAAGGCGGCUCUCUGGACCGCAACUGACGCUGAGGCGCGAAAGCUAGGGGAGCAAACAGG
rnacentral:rRNA from 1 species